UUCGUUAUCGGAAAGCGAAGAUGAAUACAUUCACAGAAUUGGAAAUGUUGAAUGGUGCGAGUGUGGCUUUUGUGUGGUCAUGAGUACAGGACGGGAAAGUAUAUGUUGCCAAGAGGUAAACAACACUGAUCCUCUGAUACAUGGCGAUCAUAUUUGCAUCACACAAGAGGAAGAGUUUGCCACAGUAUGUACAAACGAAGCUGUCUUAAAAACAGCUAUGGUCGUGUACACACAUGACAUUGGACCUAUGCCUGAGAGUGAAGAAAACGAAGCAUUACGCUACACGGCGUACCGACAGUGGACGGCUUGGGUGCAUGGCAGGUUGGGAAAAAAGUACCGACUACCCAUACCUUC